AGAUGGUCGAUAGUCUUUCGCCCCAUGCGCAGAUUUGACGAUCGAUUUGCACGUCAGAACCGCUGCGAGCCUCCACCAGAGUUUCCUCUGGCUUCACCCUAUCCACGCAUAGUUCACCAUCUUUCGGGUCCGAACAGUUAUGCUCUUACUCAAAUCCAUCCGAAGACAUCAGGAUCGGUCGAUGAUGCACCCGUAAGGGCUCUCACCUCCGUUCACUUUCAUUACGCUUGAGGGUUUAACACCCAAAAACUCGCAUAAAUGUUCGACUCCUUGGUCCGUGUUUCAAGACGGGUGGCUGAUGACCAUUAUGCCAGCAUCCUAGCCGAAGCGCGGUCCUCAGUCCCAGCGGCGGUAUUACACAGCAGGCUAUAACACUCCCGGGGGAGUCACGUUCCUGAAGUCUUUAUCCCGCCGCCGAAACUGAUGCUGGCCUCAACCAAGCGGAGUGCACCGGUGAGAACACCGGAUGAUCCGCAAGGCAAAGGUCUGGUCACAAGCCCUUCCCUUUCAACAAUUUCACGUACUAUUUAACCCUCUUUUCAAAGUGCUUUUCAUCUUUCGAUCACUCUACUUGUGCGCUAUCGGUCUCUGGCCGGUAUUUAGCUUUAGAAGAAAUUUACCUCCCAUUUAGAGCAGCAUUCCCAAACUACUCGACUCGUCGAAGGAGAUUUACAGAGGCUCGGCAUCCAACCGUACGGGGCUCUCACCCUCUAAGGCGUCCUGUUCCAAGGAACUCGGAAGGUACCUAACCAAAAUCAUCCUCUACAAAUUACAACUCGGACCCGAGGGCCAGAUUUCAAAUUUGAGCUGUUGCCGCUUCACUCGCCGUUACUAGGGCAU
rnacentral:rRNA from 1 species